GUAAAAAGUAGAAUAAUAGAUUUGAAAUAUUUAUUAUAUAGAUUUAAAGAGAUAAUCAUGGAGUAUAAUAAUUAAAUUUAAUAAAUUUAAUAUAACUAUUAAUAGAAUUAGGUUACUAAUAAAUUAAUAACAAUUAAUUUUAAAACCUAAAGGUAAACCUUUAUAUUAAUAAUGUUUUUUUUUUAUUAUUUUUAUAAUAAGAAUAAUUAUUAAUAAUAAUAAACUAAGUGAACUGAAACAUCUAAGUAACUUAAGGAUAAGAAAUCAACAGAGAUAUUAUGAGUAUUGGUGAGAGAAAAUAAUAAAGGUCUAAUAAGUAUUAUGUGAAAAAAAUGUAAGAAAAUAGGAUAACAAAUUCUAAGACUAAAUACUAUUAAUAAGUAUAGUAAGUACCGUAAGGGAAAGUAUGAAAAUGAUUAUUUUAUAAGCAAUCAUGAAUAUAUUAUAUUAUAUUAAUGAUGUACCUUUUGUAUAAUGGGUCAGCAAGUAAUUAAUAUUAGUAAAACAAUAAGUUAUAAAUAAAUAGAAUAAUAUAUAUAUAUAUAAAAAUAUAUUAAAAUAUUUAAUUAAUAUUAAUUGACCCGAAAGCAAACGAUCUAACUAUGAUAAGAUGGAUAAACGAUCGAACAGGUUGAUGUUGCAAUAUCAUCUGAUUAAUUGUGGUUAGUAGUGAAAGACAAAUCUGGUUUGCAGAUAGCUGGUUUUCUAUGAAAUAUAUGUAAGUAUAGCCUUUAUAAAUAAUAAUUAUUAUAUAAUAUUAUAUUAAUAUUAUAUAAAGAAUGGUACAGCAAUUAAUAUAUAUUAGGGAACUAUUAAAGUUUUAUUAAUAAUAUUAAAUCUCGAAAUAUUUAAUUAUAUAUAAUAAAGAGUCAGAUUAUGUGCGAUAAGGUAAAUAAUCUAAAGGGAAACAGCCCAGAUUAAGAUAUAAAGUUCCUAAUAAAUAAUAAGUGAAAUAAAUAUUAAAAUAUUAUAAUAUAAUCAGUUAAUGGGUUUGACAAUAACCAUUUUUUAAUGAACAUGUAACAAUGCACUGAUUUAUAAUAAAUAAAAAAAAAUAAUAUUUAAAAUCAAAUAUAUAUAUAUAUAUUUGUUAAUAGAUAAUAUACGGAUCUUAAUAAUAAGAAUUAUUUAAUUCCUAAUAUGGAAUAUUAUAUUUUUAUAAUAAAAAUAUAAAUACUGAAUAUCUAAAUAUUAUUAUUACUUUUUUUUUUAAUAAUAAUAAUAUGGUAAUAGAACAUUUAAUGAUAAUAUAUAUUAGUUAUUAAUUAAUAUAUGUAUUAAUUAAAUAGAGAAUGCUGACAUGAGUAACGAAAAAAAGGUAUAAACCUUUUCACCUAAAACAUAAGGUUUAACUAUAAAAGUACGGCCCCUAAUUAAAUUAAUAAGAAUAUAAAUAUAUUUAAGAUGGGAUAAUCUAUAUUAAUAAAAAUUUAUCUUAAAAUAUAUAUAUUAUUAAUAAUUAUAUUAAUAAUAUAUAUAAUUAUAUUAUAUAUUUUUUUUUUAUAUAAUAUAAACUAAUAAAGAUCAGGAAAUAAUUAAUGUAUACCGUAAUGUAGACCGACUCAGGUAUGUAAGUAGAGAAUAUGAAGGUGAAUUAGAUAAUUAAAGGGAAGGAACUCGGCAAAGAUAGCUCAUAAGUUAGUCAAUAAAGAGUAAUAAGAACAAAGUUGUACAACUGUUUACUAAAAACACCGCACUUUGCAGAAACGAUAAGUUUAAGUAUAAGGUGUGAACUCUGCUCCAUGCUUAAUAUAUAAAUAAAAUUAUUUAACGAUAAUUUAAUUAAAUUUAGGUAAAUAGCAGCCUUAUUAUGAGGGUUAUAAUGUAGCGAAAUUCCUUGGCCUAUAAUUGAGGUCCCGCAUGAAUGACGUAAUGAUACAACAACUGUCUCCCCUUUAAGCUAAGUGAAAUUGAAAUCGUAGUGAAGAUGCUAUGUACCUUCAGCAAGACGGAAAGACCCUAUGCAGCUUUACUGUAAUUAGAUAGAUCGAAUUAUUGUUUAUUAUAUUCAGCAUAUUAAGUAAUCCUAUUAUUAGGUAAUCGUUUAGAUAUUAAUGAGAUACUUAUUAUAAUAUAAUGAUAAUUCUAAUCUUAUAAAUAAUUAUUAUUAUUAUUAUUAAUAAUAAUAAUAUGCUUUCAAGCAUAGUGAUAAAACAUAUUUAUAUGAUAAUCACUUUACUUAAUAGAUAUAAUUCUUAAGUAAUAUAUAAUAUAUAUUUUUUAUAUAUUAUAUAUAAUAUAAGAGACAAUCUCUAAUUGGUAGUUUUGAUGGGGCGUCAUUAUCAGCAAAAGUAUCUGAAUAAGUCCAUAAAUAAAUAUAUAAAAUUAUUGAAUAAAAAAAUAAUAUAUAUUAUAUAUAUUAAUUAUAAAUUGAAAUAUGUUUAUAUAAAUUUAUAUUUAUUGAAUAUAUUUUAGUAAUAGAUAAAAAUAUGUACAGUAAAAUUGUAAGGAAAACAAUAAUAACUUUCUCCUCUCUCGGUGGGGGUUCACACCUAUUUUUAAUAGGUGUUCACCCCUCUUCGGGGUUCCGGUUCCCUUUCGGGUCCCGGAACUUAAAUAAAAAUAAUUAUGGAAAGAAUUAAAUUAAUAUAAUGGUAUAACUGUGCGAUAAUUGUAACACAAACGAGUGAAACAAGUACGUAAGUAUGGCAUAAUGAACAAAUAACACUGAUUGUAAAGGUUAUUGAUAACGAAUAAAAGUUACGCUAGGGAUAACAGGGUAAUAUAGCGAAAGAGUAGAUAUUGUAAGCUAUGUUUGCCACCUCGAUGUCGACUCAACAUUUCCUCUUGGUUGUAAAAGCUAAGAAGGGUUUGACUGUUCGUCAAUUAAAAUGUUACGUGAGUUGGGUUAAAUACGAUGUGAAUCAGUAUGGUUCCUAUCUGCUGAAGGAAAUAUUAUCAAAUUAAAUCUCAUUAUUAGUACGCAAGGACCAUAAUGAAUCAACCCAUGGUGUAUCUAUUGAUAAUAAUAUAAUAUAUUUAAUAAAAAUAAUACUUUAUUAAUAUAUUAUCUAUAUUAGUUUAUAUUUUAAUUAUAUAUUAUCAUAGUAGAUAAGCUAAGUUGAUAAUAAAUAAAUAUUGAAUACAUAUUAAAUAUGAAGUUGUUUUAAUAAGAUAAUUAAUCUGAUAAUUUUAUACUAAAAUUAAUAAUUAUAGGUUUUAUAUAUUAUUUAUAAAUAAAUAUAUUAUAAUAAUAAUAAUUAUUAUUAUUAAUAAAAAAUAUUAAUUAUAAUAUUAAUAAAAUACUAAUUUAUCAGUUAUCUAUAUAAUAUCUAAUCUAUUAUUCUAUAUACU
rnacentral:rRNA from 1 species